GGAGCUUGAGGCGCGCAGGGCCGGAGACGCCGCAGACCCGGGACCCGGCGCAGCUCGGAGGCGGUGAAUAAUAGCUCUUCAAGUCUGCAAUAAAAAAUGGCCUCCAAUAAAACUACAUUGCAAAAAAUGGGAAAGAAACAAAAUGGAAAGAGUAAGAAAGUAGAAGAGGCAGAGCCUGAAGAAUUUGUGGUGGAAAAAGUACUGGACCGCCGUGGAGUGAAUGGGAAGGUGGAGUAUUUCCUGAAGUGGAAGGGAUUUACAGAUGCUGACAAUACUUGGGAACCUGAAGAAAAUUUAGAUUGUCCAGAGUUAAUUGAAGCAUUUCUUAAUUCUCAAAAAGCUGGUAAAGAAAAAGAUGGUACAAAAAAGAAAAUCUUUAUCUGACAGUGAAUCUGAUGAUAGCAAAUCAAAGAGGAAAAGAGACGCUGCUGGUAAACCAAGAGGCUUUGCCAGAGGUCUUGAUCCUGAACGAAUAAUUGGUGCUACAGACAGCAGUAGAGAAUUAAUGUUUCUCAUGAAAUGGAAAGAUUCAGAUGAGGCAGACUUGGUGCUGGCAAAAGAGGCAAAUAUGAAGUGUCCUCAGAUUGGAAUUGCUUUUUAUGAAGAGAGACUAACUUGGCAUUCUUGUCCAGAAGAUGAAGCUCAAUAAUUGUUUGCGUUGCUUUAUAUAUAUAUAUAUAAAAUCUGGGUCUUUGUUUUUUGAUUUAUUAGUGUGAAGAAAUAACAUUCUAAUGAAAAUCACGUUUGAUACGUUUGUUUUGAAGUAGUAUUGGGGGAGUUGUUGGGGUUUUUUUGCAUCUAUAGCACUGGUUACUUUGAACAAAUAAAAGCUUUCUGUAGUUGCUUCCUUUAUCAGAAAAAAAUAUUUGAGACCAUGGUAUAUUAUCCCCCUGCAUUAGAGAACACCUUUUCUAAAUGUUGGGGGAAAUUUCAUAGUCGUUACUCAGUCAGAAUUUGUGUUUAACUCCUAUAUGCCUGAGGACCAUUCUGGGUCUUUUGUUUAUUUAGGGGGUUUUUGUGUGUAUACUUAAAAUACAUACAAAAAUGGUUUUUAUUUUUUUAACAUUCACCAAAACAAAAACAGCAUUUAUAACCAUGGAUAAGCCCAUGUUUCUGGGAUGCUAUCAUUUUCAGCAACUUAAGAAAUCACUUAAAGUUAAACAAGUUUUUCCUGAAGCCUUAACCUUUCAAAUUUUUAAAUUGGACAAUUUAAAAGCAGCAAUAUCUGAAUCCAUAUUCAUAUCUACAGUCAUAAAUGCAAGUUCAUUUGCAAGUUCCCUAAAAGGAAAAUUUUAUCACCACCAACAACCUCCCCACCCAAAUGACAAAACUAGACAAGUCCUGGUGUGUUUUAAUUAGGUAAGCAAAACUUAGUUAAAUGGACAUUUAAAGGUUCCUUCUAGUGAACCAUUCCUUUUCAAGAAGUUGAAAUCUCUGUGCUGUAUUGACUAAAAGGUCAUGAUUCAUGGAAUGUCUAAGACUUUGUUCAUGGAAACCUAAUCAUAAUCAGAUGGUUAGAGAUGUUGGCAAUUUAGCUCCUGCUGGAAUAAAUGGGUGGACAGACUUUUAUAAUCCAAAUUCUUAACCUGCAUGUAUUUUCUUUAUCCCAACUCGUUCCUGACAUGUAGGCUCAGUCUUCUCAGUAUUUGAGUUACUGGUUCAGCAGAAACCAGGAAAAACAAUAACUUUGUAGUCAGAAUGUUAUCCAACUGUAUAUUGUUUACUUUAUUGUAAAUACUGGUAAACAGUGGUCAAUAAAUAGUUUUAUAUUCAAAAAAAAAAAA